rnacentral:tRNA from 1 species
AAGAAAGUCAUAGGGGUCUUGAUGUUGGCUUGAAACCAUCUUUAGGAGGUUCAAUUCCUUCCUUUCUUG